UUAUCAUUAGGACAAUGAAUCUGCACGCGUUCAGUCAGUUCCAAAAGACAAUGCUGUAAUGUUUUCGGCUCUUGGGCUUCCCGCCUUCCUGAGAGUAGAUCAGCGGCUGGCGGAAGCUCUUCUCUUCCCCACCCUUGUUUACAUCCCUGCUGUCCCUGCAGCACAACCGGCACAGUAAAUGCCAGAGUUUCAGUGCUCUUUGGUUCCCCUCCAACCGUGUCUCACAUGGUAGACAAUUCAGCCCAGGCCUGGCCACUGAGGAAUGUGAGGAGAAGACACAGGAGAGGUCUGUCCUGCGUUUUGCCCUGAGGAACACCCCAUGGUACAAAUAACUGUAUGUAGAAAUGCAAGAAGGAAAAACAGCAGCUCCCAAGCAGCAUUCCUGAUGUAUACUGCUGACCAACAAAAUGUAAAGACCUCAAUGGUGAAGCCAGAGAGUCAUUAGAUGUUUUUGCUUUUGAAUUCUCUCUUAAUAAGUCAUGUUCAUGGAGUGCUGCAUAAAGCUGGUUCGUCUGUGCAGGCAUCCACUGGCUGCUGCUAUAGAACAAGCAGCUCAAGAAAUAAGAAUGUCUGAUACAGUUUUUCUCUGUGACUAAUACUUACAAGUUGAGAAGGGAAAGCCUACACCACAGAGCAAGGAUGACUCCAAUAUGAACACAGACAUCCUCAUACAGACCCACAGAAAGGCUCACAAAACUGCUCUUUGUGCUCAUUUUUGUUUUCUUUUUGGAACUUAGCUCGUUUUUGUUAAAUUGCUCAAUAAAAUUUAAUGGGAUUGGAGUUCCAUGCUGUGCUGAAGAGUUUACAAUGCUCAAAAAACUGGCACUGAGAGUAAA